UACGUAGGUGACAAGCGUUGUCCGGAUUUACUGGGCGUAAAGAGCGCGCAGGCGGUCGUCCAAGUCGCGUGUGAAAGCCCCCGGCUCAACUGGGGAGGGUCACGCGAUACUGGUCGACUCGAAGGCAGGAGAGGGUAGUGGAAUUCCCGGUGUAGUGGUGAAAUGCGUAGAUAUCGGGAGGAACACCAGUGGCGAAGGCGACUACCUGGCCUGUUCUUGACGCUGAGGCGCGAAAGCUAGGGGAGCAAACGGG
rnacentral:rRNA from 1 species